rnacentral:rRNA from 1 species
AUGAGUCGACCUGAUGGGAUCAACAUCCCCGACGGCAAGUUCUACCUUGGAGAUGUUGGCUAUGCAUGUCGGCCGGGUAUUCUUCCACCCUUCAGGAAAACCAGGUACCAUCUCAACAAGUUCUCUGGUAGGAACUAUCCUAGGACUGCACAGGAGCUGUUUAAUCUCAGACACUCCAGCCUUAGAGUAACUGUUGAGAGGGCAUUUGGAGCUCUGAAGAAUAGGUUUAAGAUCCUGGAUCAGAAGUCAUUCCACCCAUACUCCACUCAGGUUAAGCUAGUUCUUGCUUGUUGCAUUCUGCAUAACUGGAUCCUCUAG